CCCGGCGCUGGGAGCGCCGGGCUAAGUUAUUUCGGCCCUCCGGGGCG
rfam:Chloroflexi bacterium 13_1_40CM_55_7 13_1_40cm_scaffold_4703, whole genome shotgun sequence.